AAUUUACGUGUUAAUUACAACAAAAACUUUAUCUGUAUAGAUUUUUGAAAAAUCCAGAUAAUUAUCCAGAUUUUACUUUCUCUCGAUAGAAAACAGUGCUGCCAAUGUACAUAACACUUAUUAAAUGUCAGAUUCCAUUAAGCGACAGCUGCAGUUGACAGAUAUAUGACAAAAAAAUUUAAUAUUUAAAAUUGAAUUCAAUUAAGAAUAACAAACAACACAAAUCAAUGAUUCGCGUUUUUGCAAGAGUGCGAUAUCUUCCGCAAAAUUAAAGAAAAAAACCUGAAAAGGAGAUGGAAAGAAUUAUUUCACAAAAGAAGAAUUCUGUGUACUGUGCCCUUGUGUCUUAAUCGUGUCGAUACCUUCAACCCUCACAGCCAAAAUGUAAUGUAAAAUGCUCUUGGAAUGCCCGAUCGUUUGCGAAAACGUCUAUUCUUUGACGAUAAACAUGGAUAAAUGUUAACAAAGCUCUUGAUGUUAGUCAAUUGCCUCAUUAGAAUGCCCACCACAAAAACAAUCUCAUACAUUUUAAAAAUGAUACACGUCAUGUAUGUGCGCUGCGAAGAAAAGCAAAUACAAACAUACCUUCCGAAAAAUAUUCCCCCAGGAUAUACUUUUCAUCCCAAACAGCACACAGCAACAAGCAAGACAAUCCUAACAUUGCAUUAUGCAGCUCAUUCAACACCCAAAUCCUUCAGCUCCCUAAAAUCGCCCUUACUUUAUAUAAAUGGAAUCAGAAUCAAGACCUGUUGAUGAAAAGCCAUUUAAGAAGAUGAUCGCUUCACUGCCUACAAACUUGUACGACAUGUGCAUGUAAAGUGAAGUGUGGAAACAAUGGCAUCUUGAAAAUGGUAAUUGUUUCAAAGCAUCAUUUAGCUUCCCAAUUGGUUGCAGAUGUACUCUGCCUGCACUGAUGUCGUCCUGUUUCUGUAGGAGAUGUCUUCUAGAAAUGGGUUUAAAGCCCUAAUCGAGAUCCCGAGAAAAUGAUAUCUGCAUGAAUCUUCUUCGCAAUUACUUUCCCCUCCUAAACAGUUAUGCAGCGGGAGGAAUUAAAGCAAUACAAAUGGAUUCCCAACACAACCAACCCUACAAUUGAAAUCCGGGUCUGAGCACCUCGAGGACAACCUAGACAGCAGACUUUUUAAAUUAAGUUUAUCCAUGUAUUAUAUUUUUUAUAUUUUAUAACUUUUAUUUUGUUGACCAAUUUGUAUUUAAUAGUUUGGGUUGGAAAAUGUAUUUUAAAACGACCAAAAAAGCCGACGGAAAAUACAUUUUCCAACCCAAACCAUUAUUUAACGUUAGACCUCUUUGUGCCAUUAAAUUUUAAAUGUGUCUUAGAAAUAAGUUAUUUUAAGUCAAUUGUAAAUAGCAAGUUCAAUAAACCAAAAUUUCAAAUUUAAAA